UUGUUUGCAGGCUCAGAUGCUGAUGACAUGGAGCACGACAAAUUGGAAGACUCAAGUCACAAUACCUAUGUCGACCAUGAUCCAUUGGACUAUGUCUACUCAAACCUCCCAGACCACACACACAUCCUGAAGCACGCCGCAAAUUGCGAUCACUGCAAGGCCAAGAAGUUUGUUUCCGAGGCCCCGGGAUUCUGCUGUCGCAGUGGGCAGAUCCAGCUGAAGCAACCGGAGCCCAUCCCGGAGCUAAUGAGGCUUUGGUCUAGCAUGGACGCAGACUCAAGGCAUUUUCGGGAGAACAUACGGUUCUUCAACGGCCACUUCUCCUUCACAACCCUC
rnacentral:rRNA from 1 species